CGGCGGGCGGCGCGCGGGGACGCGCGGCCCGGCUCGCGCCCUCGCUCGCUCCCACGCCCGGGCAAAGUUUGCGGGAGGAAGGAGGCUCCGUGGGCUCUCCGCCCCCAGCUCCCCGGCUGCCGAGAUUUUGGCUUGAAGAUCUGCUAUUUAACUUCCUAAAGGAGAAAAGAGAGGCCAUCAUUCACAUUUUCCCAUGAGAAUGAAAUGCAGAACUAGAACCUACCAUCGAUGAAGGAUUUUCCCCAGGUAAAUUUUCCUUCGUCUGUGCCAGUAAAUUGUGUGAUCAAAAUGUUUACCACUACACUAAUUCAUUUAA
rnacentral:lncRNA from 1 species